UACGGGGGGAGCAAGCGUUGUUCGGAUUUACUGGGCGUAAAGGGUUCGUAGGCGGUGCGGCAAGUUGGGAGUGAAAUCUCUGGGCUUAACCCAGAGGCUGCUUUCAAAACUGCCGUGCUCGAGUGCGGGAGAGGCCAGUGGAAUUGCAGGUGUAGCGGUGAAAUGCGUAGAUAUCUGCAGGAACACCCGUGGCGAAGGCGGCUGGCUGGACCGCAACUGACGCUGAGGAACGAAAGCUAGGGGAGCAAACAGG
rnacentral:rRNA from 1 species